UAAGAUUGGACUUGGAUCUUGAGCAGAAAAUGGAAGUGAAGAGACGAAAGUAGAAAAUGGAUAACCUGAAAGAGGAUGGAAGUCUAGAACUGGUAGAGAUGCCUUGGAACGAGACAGAAGGAUCGAAUAUUGAUGACAUUACGCCAUACAUAUAUCAAGAUACUAAUUACUAUCAAGAAAAAUGAUUUUACCUAACAAUAUUGGUGACUGGGUGGAAUUUAUUCUGAUGCUAGAAAUAUGGAUGUUUUUCUUCGCCAAUAAAUAUACCGGCAAUUUAUAUUAAAGAAA
rnacentral:lncRNA from 13 species